AUGAUACCAGACACACUGAGCAGCCUUUGCAGCCUGAGAAUAUUUGAAUUGGCAUAUAAUGAUGUUCAAGGGGACGUGACGGAGUUCAUCGAGAGGUUACCGAAAUGUUCAUGGAGUCAGUUGCAGGAGCUGCAUCUGGGCCACAAUAACAUAACUGGCUCACCAUCAGAUUGGAUCAGCCACAUGACUAGCUUGAGCACUCUUGAUCUCAGUUUCAACAAGCUUACAGGACCUCUGACCACUGCGAUAGGCAUGCUUUCUAACCUGAUUUACCUGAACAUAGGGUACAAUCAGAUGGAUGGUCUCAUCACUCAAGAGCACUUCUCCAAGCUUACAGAGUUGCAGGAGCUGCACUUAUCUGGAAAUUCCUUUACCAUGAAGCUGAACUCUGACUGGAUCCCUCCAAGGAGAUUGCUCACACUAGGAUUAAGAUCAUGCUAUCUUGGGCCGAGAUUUACUCAGUGGCUCAAAUCACCAAAGAAUAUCUCCUACCUUUAUAUGUCCAAUGCCAGCAUAGCUGAUACCAUGCCUGAUUGGUUUUGGACUGUGUAUAGAAAGGCUGACGUUUUGGACCUCUCAAACAAUAACAUCAGUGGCACAUUACCAGCUACUCUUGGACAGAUGGACGCCAGUUUCUUAGAUCUAAGCUCGAAUCAGUUCAUUGGUCCAGUAGAACAGCUGCCUCAGAAUAUAGCGACUUUAGAUCUCUCAAGAAACUCCCUGUCAGGGGCUCUGCCAUUAAAUGUCAGAUGGCCAUUAUUCAUGGAUAGUUUGCUUCUAUUUGACAACCAUUUCACGGGCACUAUCCCGGCAUCGUUAUGCCAAAUGAAGUCACUAACAUUGCUUGACAUUAGAAACAAUAUGAUAACAGGUCAGUUCCCUCGAUGUUCAGAGAAUGUGGCGUCAAGUUCAGGAACGGUGCCAUCAAACACAGCUUCUGUGGAUAGUGAUUCAAGCUCUGAGAUAUCAUCGUCGAUGUCAAUUGAAACUCUGAGGCUCAACAACAAUAGCCUCUCGGAUGAAUUCCCUUUGAUAUUACAGAAUUGCCCAGAACUAACUUUUAUUGAUCUUGGGCAAAAUAGGUUUUUUGGAAGUAUACCACCUUGGAUUGGAGAGAAAUUACCACAGCUGAAAUAUCUGAGCGUCAGGUCCAACAUGUUUUCUGGCUAUAUACCCACGCAGCUUAGAGGACUUCGGUAUCUCCAAUAUUUGGACCUAGCACACAACAACUUCUCAGGUACUAUACCUCGAUCCCUACUAAACAUGGAUGGCAUGACCAAGACCACAGAAUUAGCAGCUCGGGAUUACCCAUCCAGCACUUCCAGCGACAUGGCUACAGUAGAUGAUGGCAUUACUGUAGUAGAUGACCCCCAAGAUCCUGGUGGUGGGUAUGAGCAUGCUAUGACUGCUAGCAUAUUUGUAGUCACAAAAGGGCAAGGGCGCGAAUAUAUUGGUCGAUUCAUAGACAUAGUGAGUCUUGAUUUAUCCUGCAAUCAUUUAACUGGAAAUAUCCCGGAAAAAUCAUUUAACUGCAACCAUACACCAGACUUUCCUGGACAACACAAGAUAAUGGGAUAA
rnacentral:rRNA from 1 species